AUAAUUCAUACCGAGCACCCAAACGGAAAUGCAAUUUAGCCACACAGCAUAGAAGAUUAUUUUUGUAUACGGUCAAAAUUGGACUCGCCCUUUGUAUGACUAAUCAAGACUAGAAUAUGAUAGGUUAAAGUUUGAACUCGUAUUUUAUCUGAUGAAACAAUACUAUUUGCACCAAGUAUUCAUCCAUACAUGCCUCCAGGAAUACAAAACUACUACUGAAACAGCAUAGCAAUCUCACCAGAUACUACUUUGAAUUACAGCUACUAAACAGUG
rnacentral:lncRNA from 1 species